CAAAGCCAAGGACGGCCGUCUUCAUGGACUGCUGCCAGAGGACCGUUCCAGUGUGGUGGAUCCUCAAAUAUUUUCCAAGGACUGGGUGUGGCGGACACCAGUGCAUGUAAAAUUGGGUGUCGUGACUCAAAAAGGUUGAGAACCACUGAUUUAGAGUAUUUCUACCAUUAAGCCUUCAAUAAAGUGAACUUUAUGUAAAGGCCAAUGGUGUCUGACCCAGAUCGUCAUCCAGGACCUUCAAAAUAAAGAGAACAUGAGGAGAUGGCUCAUUACCACAGCAUGAACUCUGUGACGGACUCUCAGUCAUCUCUGAAGUGUCAUCAGAGCCAGGAUCAAAGACUCGUUAGAGGAGAGACUAGAACCUGCUGACCUGAGGGACACAUUCACUAGGCCUUUACCAGGACCAGACAGUUCUCAGACCAGGCCUGUACAGACCAGUGGUCUAGCUGUGACACACCAGUAUGAUGGCCAUCCUCCAGACCUGCUCCAGGACCUACCCCAUCUCUCCAGACCUGCUCCAGGACCAUGGCCCAUCUCUCCAGACCUGCUCCAGGACCAUGCCCCAUCUCUCCAGACCUGCUCCAGGACCAUGCCCCAUCUCUCCAGACCUGCUCCAGGACCAUGCCCCAUCUCUCCAGACCUGCUCCAGGACCAUGGCCCAUCUCUCCAGACCUGCUCCAGGACCAUGGCCCAUCUCUCCAAGUAUCCUCCCAGCUGACCCCGGUGAGCUGGAUCAGACCUGGGUGUCUAAAAGCAGCUGAGCUUUCCCAUGGUUGCCCGUCAGAUUCAGACACACAGUCUAACAACGACACCUGAAGAUGGACCAGAGAGACAGAGAGUCCAGUCUCUGACCAUCAGUCCACAUCCAGACCUCACCAGAGGACAGAAAGACCAGAAAGACCUAGGACCCAAAGACUGAGUCCACAUGCUCAGCUUGAACCAGGAUCACAUUUGUGAUUUCCCAUGAACUCAAUGAUUGUUGAACUGUUUAGUCAGUGAAAUGAAGCUCAGUUUGUUUGCCCUGCUGCACCCUGCUGAAUGAGCUGCUUUGGUUUCUGUUAUGAUGAAGAGGACGAGCUGUGCUAGCAGACUCUCCUAUCCUACCAGAGGUUAAACAGUCCCACCUAAACCAUCCAGCAAGAACCACGGUGGAAACCAGAUCUGGUCUGCAGUUCAUCAGAGAGGAGGAUCUCCCUCCAUCAUCACACCUCUCCAGAGUCUGAGACUCCUCAGAGCACGGCAGACUGAAGGAAUGUUUUAGAUGGUUUUAACUGUACUCCAAAAUAGAGGAGCUAAUUUAAUCAGAUUAAAACUAUCUACUGUCAUUCACUUUACACAUUUAUAUCAAUUCUGCAGAUUCAGUUUGAAUGACUACACGUUGAUGUUUUUAAAUGUUUAUUAUUCAUUUCCUCCCAGCAGUAAAGCUCAGAGCAGAGACUUUUAAAUGUUGAUUUCUAUGUUUUUCUGUUUUUUCUAGAACUUCUCUCUGCUGUAUGAAGAGCAAGCUUCUAUCACACUGGAAUUAAACACGGUUUUUAGUGUGAAUCAGCCCCACCUGUGGCAGGCACCAGGACAACAAACCUCAUCAGCCAAGAAAGGAGGAAGGUCCAUGACAGGAAGGAGAAGACAACAGCCGAUUUACUGGAGAACUUCUCUCUGCUGUAUGAAGAGCAAGCUUCUAUCACACUGGAAUUAAACACGGUAGCUUUCUGCUGGAGGUUUUUAGUGUGAAUCAGCCCCACCUGUGGCAGGCACCAGGACAACAAACCUCAUCAGCCAAGAAAGGAGGAAGGUCCAUGACAGGAAGGAGAAGACAACAGCUGAUUUA